UGGGGAAUUUUGGACAAUGGGCGCAAGCCUGAUCCAGCCAUGCCGCGUGCGGGAAGAAGGCCUUCGGGUUGUAAACCGCUUUUGUCAGGGAAGAAAUCUUCUGAGUUAAUACCUCGGGAGGAUGACGGUACCUGAAGAAUAAGCACCGGCUAACUACGUGCCAGCAGCCGCGGUAAUACGUAGGGUGCAAGCGUUAAUCGGAAUUACUGGGCGUAAAGCGUGCGCAGGCGGUUUUGUAAGACAGAGGUGAAAUCCCCGGGCUCAACCUGGGAACCGCCUUUGUGACUGCAAGGCUUGAGUGCGGCAGAGGGGGAUGGAAUUCCGCGUGUAGCAGUGAAAUGCGUAGAUAUGCGGAGGAACACCGAUGGCGAAGGCAAUCCCCUGGGCCUGCACUGACGCUCAUGCACGAAAGCGUGGGGAGCAAACAGGAUUAGAUACCCUGGUAGUCCACGCCCUAAACGAUGCCAACUGGUUGUUGGGAAGGUUCCUUCUCAGUAACGUAGCUAACGCGUGAAGUUGACCGCCUGGGGAGUACGGCCGCAA
rnacentral:rRNA from 1 species